rnacentral:rRNA from 1 species
CAGGACGAACGCUGGCGGCACGCUUAACACAUGCAAGUCGAACGGAGUUAUUGGAGCUUGCUUUGAUAAACUUAGUGGCGGACGGGUGAGUAACACGUGAGCAAUCUGCCCUUAAGAGGGGGAUAGCAGUUGGAAGCGACUGAUAAUACCGCAUAAGAUAGUAGUACCGCAUGGUACAGCUAUAAAAGAUUUAUCGCUUAAGGAUGAGCUCGCGUCUGAUUAGCUAGUUGGUGAGGUAACGGCUCACCAAGGCAACGAUCAGUAGCCGGACUGAGAGGUUGGACGGCCACAUUGGGACUGAGACACGGCCCAGACUCCUACGGGAGGCAGCAGUGGGGAAUAUUGCACAAUGGAGGAAACUCUGAUGCAGCGAUGCCGCGUGAGGGAAGAAGGUUUUAGGAUUGUAAACCUCUGUUGACAGGGACGAUAAUGACGGUACCUGUUGAGGAAGCUCCGGCUAACUACGUGCCAGCAGCCGC